rnacentral:misc_RNA from 1 species
GAUGAAGAACGCAGCGAAAUGCGAUAAGUAAUGUGAAUUGCAGAAUUCAGUGAAUCAUCGAAUCUUUGAACGCACAUUGCGCCCGCCAGUAUUCUGGCGGCAUGCCUGUCUGAGCGUCAUUUCAACCCUCAUGCCCCUAGGGCGUGGUGUUGGGGAUCGGCCAAAGCCCGCGAGGGACGGCCGGCCCCUAAAUCUAGUGGCGGACCCGUCGUGGCCUCCUCUGCGAAGUAGUGAUAUUCCGCAUCGGAGAGCGAUGAGCCCCUGCCGUUAAACCCCCAACUUUCCAAGGUUGACCUCAGAUCAGGUAGGAAUACCCGCUGAACUUAAGCAUAUCAAUAAGCGGAGGA